AAUAUUUUCUAAAUUUCAGUAUUUGUAUCACUCAUCGUCAUUUCUAUUCUCCCCUUUACCUCGGUUAGUUUCGCCGAGGUUUUU
rnacentral:ncRNA from 1 species